UAACCUGCCCUUGACUCUGGGAUAAGCCUGGGAAACUGGGUCUAAUACCGGAUAUGACCUUCCAUCGCAUGGUGGUUGGUGGAAAGCUUUUGUGGUUUUGGAUGGACUCGCGGCCUAUCAGCUUGUUGGUGAGGUAAUGGCUUACCAAGGCGACGACGGGUAGCCGGCCUGAGAGGGUGACCGGCCACACUGGGACUGAGACACGGCCCAGACUCCUACGGGAGGCAGCAGUGGGGAAUAUUGCACAAUGGGCGCAAGCCUGAUGCAGCGACGCCGCGUGAGGGAUGACGGCCUUCGGGUUGUAAACCUCUUUCAGUAGGGAAGAAGCCGCAAGGUGACGGUACCUGCAGAAGAAGCGCCGGCUAACUACGUGCCAGCAGCCGCGGUAAUACGUAGGGCGCAAGCGUUAUCCGGAAUUAUUGGGCGUAAAGAGCUCGUAGGCGGUUUGUCGCGUCUGCCGUGAAAGUCCGGGGCUCAACUCCGGAUCUGCGGUGGGUACGGGCAGACUAGAGUGAUGUAGGGGAGACUGGAAUUCCUGGUGUAGCGGUGAAAUGCGCAGAUAUCAGGAGGAACACCGAUGGCGAAGGCAGGUCUCUGGGCAUUAACUGACGCUGAGGAGCGAAAGCAUGGGGAGCGAACAGGAUUAGAUACCCUGGUAGUCCAUGCCGUAAACGUUGGGCACUAGGUGUGGGGGACAUUCCACGUUUUCCGCGCCGUAGCUAACGCAUUAAGUGCCCCGCCUGGGGAGUACGGCCGCAAGGCUAAAACUCAAAGGAAUUGACGGGGGCCCGCACAAGCGGCGGAGCAUGCGGAUUAAUUCGAUGCAACGCGAAGAACCUUACCAAGGCUUGACAUGAACCGGACCGGGCUGGAAACAGUCUUUCCCCUUUGGGGCUGGUUUACAGGUGGUGCAUGGUUGUCGUCAGCUCGUGUCGUGAGAUGUUGGGUUAAGUCCCGCAACGAGCGCAACCCUCGUUCUAUGUUGCCAGCACGUGAUGGUGGGGACUCAUAGGAGACUGCCGGGGUCAACUCGGAGGAAGGUGGGGACGACGUCAAAUCAUCAUGCCCCUUAUGUCUUGGGCUUCACGCAUGCUACAAUGGCCGGUACAAAGGGUUGCGAUACUGUGAGGUGGAGCUAA
rnacentral:rRNA from 1 species